rnacentral:rRNA from 1 species
CCUACGGGUGGCAGCAGUAGGGAAUAUUGCUCAAUGGGGGAAACCCUGAAGCAGCAACGCCGCGUGGAGGAUGAAGGUUUUCGGAUUGUAAACUCCUUUUGGUAGAGAAGAGAAUGACGGUACCUAACGAAUUAGCACCGGCCAACUCCGGGCCAGCAGCCGCGGGACCACGGAGGGGGCAAGCGUUAUUCGGAAUCACUGGGCGUAAAGAGGGCGUAGGCGGGAUAGCAAGUCAGAUGUGAAAUCCUAUGGCUUAACCCUAGAACUGCAUUUGAAACUGUUAUUCUAGAGUAUGGGAGAGGUAGGUGGAAUGCUUGGUGUAGCGGUUAAAUCCGUAGAGAUCAGGAGGAAUACUCAUUGCGAAGGCGGCCUGCUAGAACAUAACUGACGCUGAUGCGCGAAAGCGUGGGGAGCAAACAGGAUUAGAUACCCGAGUAGUC